rnacentral:lncRNA from 1 species
GCUCCCUUCACCUCGUGUCUUUUUUCAACGCGAAAUACGUCCGAUUCCCUCGAUCCCUUCGAGCCCUUAUGCCCUGGUGGCCAUGAGGUGACCUGAUCCUCUGCUCCCUUCGCCUCGUGUCUCUUUUAAAAGCGAAAAACGUCCGAUCCCCUCGAUCCCUUCGAUCCCCUCGAUCCCUUAUGCCCUGGUGGCCAUGAGGUGACUCUGAUCCUCUGCUCCCUUCGCCUCGUGUCUCAUUUAAGAGCGAAAAACGUCCGAUCCCCUCGAUCCCUUAUGCCCUGGUGGCCGUGAGGUGACUCUGAUCCUCUGCUCCCUUCGCCUCUGUCUCUUUUAAAGCGAAAAACGUCCGAUCCCCUCGAUCCCUUAUGCCCUGGUGGCCGUGAGGUGACUCUGAUCCUCUGCUCCCUUCGCCUCGUGUCUCUUUUAAAAGCGAAAAACGUCCGAUCCCCUCGAUCCCCUUGAUCCCUUAUGCCCUGGUGGCCUUGAGGUGACUCUGAUCCUCUGCUCCCUUCGCCUCGUGUCUCUUUUAAAAGCGAAAAACGUCCGAUCCCUUCGAUCCCGUCGAUCCCUUAUGCCCUGGUGGCCAUGAGGUGACUCUGAUCCUCUGCUCCCUUCGCCUCGUGUCUCAUUUAAGAGCGAAAAACGUCCGAUCCCCUCGAUCCCUUCGAUCCCCUCGAUCCCUUAUGCCCUGGUGGCCGUGAGGUGACUCUGAUCCUCUGCUCCCUUCGCCUCGUGUCUCAUUUAAAAGCGAAAAACUUCCGAUCCCCUCGAUCCCUUCGAUCCCCUUCGAUCCCUUAUGCCCUGGUGGCCGUGAGGUGACUCUGAUCCUCUGCUCCCUUCGCCUCGUGUCUCUUUUAAAAGCGAAAAACGUCCGAUCCCCUCGAUUCCUUCGAUCCCUUAUGUCCGGUGGCAGUGAGGAGACUAUGAUCCUCUGCUCCCUUCACCUCGUGUCAACGGGAAAUACGUCCGAUCCCCUUUACUCGAUAGAACGUGCCAUCAGGAAACGCUCUUCUUCGGUUUCGUGCGUUCAAAUUUUCUUGUCAGUCGACCAGCGUUCCCAUUCAUUACGGCCUUCGAUUCUUGUACUCAAGUAAUUCUUAUGUCCAGAACUGUAACAAUUAUAAACUAUGAUAAAAGUUCUAUUUUUAGCAUCAGAAGCCUAUGGACCAAUGAGAGUCGAUCUACCGAGAGGUGCUACAACACUCCAUGGUUGCGGGACUAGUAGAAAACACUUUGAUCUCAGUAUUUUUUGAAAUCCAACAAAAGACGACGAUUUAUCGACGAAAAUUCGCGAAGCGUUGGCGAGGCUUGUCACAAAGGACGCUGGAUCGAGAGAUAGAUGC